GCACCUACAGCUCAGUUGGGAGAGCCUGAGGCUUGUAACCUCAAGGUUGUGGGUUUGAGCCCCAUGUUGGGCA